rnacentral:rRNA from 1 species
GCAGUCGAACGAAGGCCCUAGCUUGCUAGGUGUCCUUAGUGGCGCACGGGCGAGUAACACGUGGGAACAUACCUCAUAGUACGGAAUAACUGCGGGAAACUGUAGCUAAUACCGUAUAUUCCAGAAAUGGGAAAGAUUUAUCGCUAUGAGAUUGGCCCGCGCAAGAUUAGCUUGUUGGUAAGGUAACGGCUUACCAAGGCUCCGAUCUUUAGCUGGUUUGAGAGGAUGAUCAGCCACACUGGGACUGAGACACGGCCCAGACUCCUACGGGAGGCAGCAGUAGGGAAUAUUGGACAAUGGGGGAAACCCUGAUCCAGCAAUGCAGCGUGAGUGACGAAGGCCUUAGGGUUGUAAAACUCUUUCAUCGGUGAGGAUAAUGACAGUAGCCGAAGAAGAAGGACCGGCUAAUUCCGUGCCAGCAGCCGCGGUAAUACGGAAGGUCCUAGCGUUGUUCGGAAUUACUGGGCGUAAAGCGCAUGUAGGCGGAACAAAAAGUUAGAAGUGAAAUCCCUGGGCUCAACCUAGGAAUUGCUUUUAAAACUUUUGUUCUGGAAUUCAGGAGAGGAAAAUGGAAUUUCCAGUGUAGAGGUGAAAUUCGUAGAUAUUGGAAGGAACACCAGUGGCGAAGGCGAUUUUCUGGACUGAUAUUGACGCUGAGAUGCGAAGGCAUGGGUAGCAAACGGGAUUAGAUACCCCGGUAGUCCAUGCAGUAAACGAUGGGUGCUAGUCGUCGGACUUUUGUUCGGUGUCGUAGCUAACGCGUUAAGCACCCCGCCUGGGGAGUACGGUCGCAAGAUUAAAACUCAAAUAAAUUGACGGGGACCCGCACAAGCAGUGGAGCAUGUGGUUUAAUUCGACGCAACGCGAAGAACCUUACCAGCGUUUGACAUGGGAAGUGCCGGUUACAGAAUGGUAACCUUCAGUUCGGCUGGCUUCCACACAGGUGCUGCAUGGCUGUCGUCAGCUCGUGUCGUGAGAUGUUGGGUUAAGUCCCGCAACGAGCGCAACCCUUAUCGUUAGUUACUAACAGUUCGGCUGAAGACUCUAGCGAAACUGCCGGUGA